AACGCACGAGACCUGCGGACCUGCGGAAGGAUCAUUACCGAGUUUUCAACCCCCAAACCCCAUGUGAACUUAUACCAUUUACACCGUUGCUUCGGCGGGUUCUCGCCCCGGGCUUUACAACCCCGGAACCAGGCGGCCCGCCGGGGGACCCAAACUCUAGAUUUUAUUUUAGCAUGUCUGAGUGGAAUCAUUACAAAAUGAAUCAAAACUUUCAACAACGGAUCUCUAGAUCGGAAGAGC
rnacentral:misc_RNA from 1 species